GUGUGUGUGUGUGUGUUUGAACUUGAUUAUUGUGGAAAAGGAGGGAACAGUUGCUGUUUGUUUUGGGUAGGUGGCUUUGGCUCUCCCUGUGAGAAAUGUGUGUAUUGCAGAGUGAGAUCUCUCCAGUUCACUGACCUUAUUUUUUUAGCCAGCCUUUAGUCCUGUCUUUGUAUUUUAUGUAUGCAAACACUCUGGUCCUGGAUAUGAGAGGUGUAAAUUCACUGCUUUAAAACUAAAAAUAAACUUUUUUUUGUCUCAAAAUCUUUCAUGCAGGCAGAACCUAUGCUGCUUUUGGCAGGGACAGGGUUAAAGUGCCAUCCCAGGACAGGAAUGCUGCAACAGGAAUUAGCAGCCUGUGCCCUGUGGUUUUCAUCUGUGCAGCUGCUCUCAAACAUGGACAGUGUGUUUUUAGUACUCAUCUCUGCUCUGUGACCAAGGCAUUUCACUGAAGAUGGUUAAAAGCGGUCCUGCAGACAGAACCAAGGAGCCUCUAUACUGAACAAUCUCAAGGUCUUUCAGUCACAGAGGAUUCACAGCUUCCUGUGAGGCCAUCCUGUGAUCAUGACAUAGAAGUCAGGGGUCAAAAGUUUUGUUUCUGGCUCAGAAGCGGACUUGCUGCCUUCAUUAAUACAAUUAUGGAGCAAGACCAGGACAAAGUUAGAACCUGCUCUGCUGCUUACUUGGAAAAACAAAAGAGAAGAUAAACUGAUGAAUGAAGAUUUCAAGCUAUUAAAUAUCUAAUGAGAAAGUACCGUAUUUCUCCAUAAAAAGACUGGGAACACACUGAAACCAGAAGAAGAACCAUGCCAUAAAGAUACCCACAGCUACAGCUGCAGCUGGUCUGCAAAGCCCUGGCAGGCUGUUCAGCUUUACCUUGUAACAUGUACCAAAGCUGACCCACUGGCCUGCAGCUCUAGUGGGUGUCAAAUUAGGUUGUGAAUGGACCUCAGGAGGUUGAUGCUGCAGCAGUGCGGGGCUAAAGUCAGCUGUAAGUAGCAGAGGUUAUUCCCCUAUGGUCACCAAAUCCCUUGGGCACAGUCUGAACACAGCAGUGGUUCCUGUCACUACUCUAAGACCUCCAUCUAAAGUGAGCUUUUCCAGUGCCCUGUGACAGGCUGAUUUCUCUUAUAAUGCCUGACUUACAAGAGAGAAACUUGGUUUGGAGCCAAGCUACAGCAGCAUGUGAGACAAGCAAGCCCAUUCUGCUCCAGUGCACUGAAGCAUCAAGCAAUGCUCUGGUCACUGAUUGUGGUUUGUCUGUGCUCCAAAACAGUUAGCAGCAGAUUCACUUCAUGUAACUCAAUGCCAAGUCCUUUCUGAAGAACCACAGUGAAUCUUGGUAAAUUCACAUCAUGAGUAAUUGACAUAAGCUGAGCUGGGAAAAGUAAUUGUUCCUGCAACUGCAGUGGCAGGCCUAUGCACAGGAACGGCUCCUAUAAGGAAUGAUCACAGCUACACCUAAAAAGACAGUCCUAUUUCAGUGCUCUAGUCUUGGGCAGGUUUACCUCCUGCCUUCAGACUUCUGGGUCUAAGAGUGAAAGCAAAAGGUUGUCUGUUAUGCUGAAAGGUGUCAGAAAUAAUGUUUCCUGUUAAAUACAAACAAUAACACAUUCCUGGCCUCAAGAAGUGAAGGGGCUCCUUCACUUUUUUUCCCGCCAUCUCUGGAUCAGACCAUUCCUGUUUAACCAGGCAAUAAUGUGUUCAGACUCAGAAUAAGCUGCUCCUUCAGUAUGAGAGGCCACACUCCAGACACAGGCAGCCUGAUCAACUUUCCCAUUUCUCCUGUCUCUGUAUUUAAUUUUCACUGGGAGAGUUUCUGAAUCCACUGAUUAGGGUGCCAUGUAUAUUGGCAUGUAUAAUAAUUCCAAAAAUGCAGGGCCUAGAUUAGUAGGACUGCUACUGAAGCACAUGGGUCUGCUGGCAAAGUUCUGUAUGACUCCUUUCUACCCCUGUCUGUGCCCACUAACUAACAUGUAACAACAGUAAUAAAUUAAUUUUCAUGAGUUUUAGAAUCUAGUAAGUAAAAUAUAGAGAGACCUCUCCUUUCCAUGGCUUGUAGAUGAGCAGAAGGUGAGGGGAAGUGCUCUUUCCAUGUCUGUCAGCCACAGAACAUCUCAAGUGUCUGCAGAAUCACCUACUGUCUUUGCCUAGCCUUCCUGAGCUGCUGUGAAGAUUUUUAAGAUACUCACACUUUAAUAACUUAAAAUAUAAACUUCUGUGUGUAUAAUAAGAUAAUUUACAGGAAGGUAGUGCAUCAUAUUUUUUGUUAUACUUCUUGAAUCCCAAGAUAAAAUUUAUUCUUGCUUAAUAACACCAGUGGCAGUAUUGCAGGGUUUGGGAGUGUUCUUGUGAUCAAAGCAUUUCUGCAGACUUCUUUAGAUUCUUGUUACAGUCUUUUAGUUCCUGUUGCUUGCAGUUACCAUUUUUAUUGUUGUAUUUUUUGUUCUGGUUAAAGUACUUUUAAAUCCACUCUUCAAAACCAGAAUAAACAGAGUGAAUACACAGCUGAACUGCAAUAUUCAGCACCCAACUAACCUCUUCCGGUAGUGCCACUCUGUGAUGCUCAAUAUGACUUUCCCAGCACAGAACCCAAGAAGCAGGGAGUGAACCUUCUCUGCAAAUCAAUAAGUAGUAAUAGGCAAUGUAUACUUCUAAUAUAUUUUAGAAACUCUACUGUAGAUGUCCUCAUGAAGGGAUUGUUCUCAAGGGUCUUAAAUUUAAAAAAAAAAAAGUCUGGAAGUAGAAGGUUUACAGUCUCUUGCAAAAUAAAAUAUUCUAAGGUUUCAGUAAUUGGUUUUAAAUAUGGGAGUUUUAUUUCACUGAUGCCACAGUUGUUCUGCAGAAGGGACCUACAAGAAACCUGGAAAAAAACUUUGUCAAGGGCAUGGAGUGACAGGACAAGGGGAAGUGGCUUUAAGC